GUCUAUGGCCAUGCCACCCUGAACGAACCCAGUCCCGUCUGAUCUUGGAAGCUAAGCAGGGUCGGGCCUGGUUAGUCCUUGGAUGGGAGACCACCUAGGAAGACCAGGUGCUGUAGGCG
rnacentral:rRNA from 1 species